UAAUUAAAUUAGAUUUUUGGAAAAUGUUUAUAUGCAAUUACAAUUAUUUUAAUCUUGUUCGGGCUUAUUUAACUAACAUCGUUCUAGGUGUAAGGUACUCAGUACUCACUGAUUAUAUAUAGCCGCAUUACAUUUUUAAUUUUUGUACUUCAAAAAGAGCGUAUUCCUCCUCUGGUUAUCAGUCGAUAUAAUUAUAAACACUUUGGGUUUAGGUAUGGUCAGGUCGUAUGUACUUAACACACAUGACACAUGUAUACAAUAUUUCUGGUCUCAGCCCUCCAGGAUACAGUGACCGUGGGAUACUGGAUGUUGUGCGCACAUCUUGCAUUACUAACACCGAUUAAACGCUUUUUUAUUAAAGCUAAAACCUACAAUUUAUUAUUUAAUGCAAUGAGAUGAAAACAAUUAUUGCAUAUAUUAUGUGCAAACUGCAAACAUACAGUUAUCUAUAGCGUGUUAUAUUGUUAUUUAAACAUUUGAAAACCUAACUAUGAAUGGCAUUGACACACUUCUAUCUCAAUCAAGUGCCAUGCCGUGAAGACUACUUAAAAAAAACGCUGAUACCAAAGUUGAGUGGGGCGGUCUACUGCAGGUUACCAUCGUGGUCAAGGUGAGUUAUAUUUUAUCGGCAACAUGAAGUACUUACAUCAUUUUUGUCAUAUAUCGUAAGUUAAUAAUACAAAUACUAAUGAUUAAGAGCGAUUAUUCCUAUAACCUGCUCAACGCAUCAUGAUUUUUAGAUUAUAACCUUUCUGCCCAUUCCUUGUUUAAACAAGAUCUACAUAACAAACAAGGUUUAGGUAAUAUCCGUAUUCCCUCUGGACGAUCAUCCUGCUGACCCAUAGGUAUUGCGUGACAUCUAACCACCGUACAGUCAACUGUAUGAAACUAAACGAACCGCAUUGCUGUGCGAUUGGUCAGGUUGGAUGUCUGGUUCCAUUCAGUGUGUCACUGUGUCUCUAAUGAUGAACUGGUUUUUUUUUUACCAUGCGGUCAAUGACCUCGAGCACUAGAGGCGACAGCACCUUUUCCUUGCUGGAAGACAGUCAAUUUAAAGCGAACUCUUCUACUACUGACUACUGUACAGACAAUAACUGCCUAAGUACCUAUACAAAAUAUGGAUUAAAAUCAAUAUUUGUGGCUUGAUAUCAUAGUAAAAUUGUCACACAUCGCACAUAAGUAUAAUUGAUUCAAAAUUAGGAUACUAUAAUAUACUAUAGUCUAUAGCCGUAUAGCUAAUAUGUUAUUCUUUAUUAAUUUAGUAAUCAGUAU
rnacentral:lncRNA from 1 species